UAGGGAAUCUUCGGCAAUGGACGGAAGUCUGACCGAGCAACGCCGCGUGAGUGAAGAAGGUUUUCGGAUCGUAAAGCUCUGUUGUAAGAGAAGAACGAGUGUGAGAGUGGAAAGUUCACACUGUGACGGUAUCUUACCAGAAAGGGACGGCUAACUACGUGCCAGCAGCCGCGGUAAUACGUAGGUCCCGAGCGUUGUCCGGAUUUAUUGGGCGUAAAGCGAGCGCAGGCGGUUAGAUAAGUCUGAAGUUAAAGGCUGUGGCUUAACCAUAGUACGCUUUGGAAACUGUUUAACUUGAGUGCAAGAGGGGAGAGUGGAAUUCCAUGUGUAGCGGUGAAAUGCGUAGAUAUAUGGAGGAACACCGGUGGCGAAGGCGGCUCUCUGGCUUGUAACUGACGCUGAGGCUCGAAAGCGUGGGGAGCAAACAGGAUUAGAUACCCUGGUAGUCCACGCCGUAACGAUGAGUGCUAGGUGUUAGACCCUUUCCGGGGUUUAGUGCCGCAGCUAACGCAUUAAGCACUCCGCCUGGGGAGUACGACCGCAAGGUUG
rnacentral:rRNA from 1 species